rnacentral:rRNA from 1 species
CACGUAGGGGACGAGCGUUGUCCGGAUUCAUUGGGCGUAAAGCGCGCGUAGGCGGCUCGGAAAGUCGGGCGUGAAAACUUGGGGCUUAACCCCAAGCCUGCGGUCGAUACGGGCAGACUUGAGUUCGGCAGGGGAGACUGGAAUUCCUGGUGUAGCGGUGAAAUGCGCAGAUAUCAGGAGGAACACCGAUGGCGAAGGCAGGUCUCUGGGCCACUACUGACGCUGAGAAGCGAAAGCAUGGGGAGCGAACAGG